AAAAAAAAAAAGAUUAAUACCCGAUAUAAAGGAUGGGGAUGCGUUCCAUUAGGUUGUUGGAGAGGUAACGGCUCACCAAGCAUUCGAUGGAUAGUGGUUCUGAUAGGAAGUUCCCCCACAGUGGAACUGAGACACGGUCCAAACUCGUACGGGACGCAGCAGUGAGGAAUAUUGGGCAAUGGGCGCUAGCCUGAACCAGCAAGGUAGCGUGAAGGAUGAAGGCUUAUGUGGCGUAAACUUCUUUGAUAUAAGAAUAGGUAUUAUAUGAAUAAGGAUCGGCUAACUCCGUGCCAGCAGCCGCGGUAAUUC
rnacentral:rRNA from 1 species